GCUGAAAGGCUGUUAGCUCUGAAGCCUGCUGCUCAGAGAGUUAGCUGACUCCAGUGAACUCAAAUCCUGAACAGACCUCAGUGUAUGCUGCCUGCAUUCUCACUCCAGGGAGCUGUAACCCAGUGGUCUGCCCACCCAGAGCCUCCAGAUGUCGGUGGUGAGAUCUUUCCAUUAGCUGGCUUGAUGAAGGCAUUAACUUUGCCUGAUGAAGGUUCUAAAAUGAAGCCCUGGCAAUGCACUGCCUCAGCCACUGAAGCCUCCAGUGCUACUGAGACACCACUGAGGUCUUCUCAAGGGAGCCAGAUGCUGAGAAGGUGAGUUUCCUGAGCCAGAGUGUCAAAAAAGCUACCAGCGAGGAUGGAUGUCCACAUGAUGACACAAGGCCAGCAGCUGGGAGAGGGCCUCGGCAUCGCCGAGGACAAGCCUCCAGACUCCAGGCAUCAGACUCCUCAGUUUCCAGAGAUGGAAAACCCCAGUCAAAUUACCUAAGCAAAUGAGGAAUAUGGACUCACAGAUCUCAAAAUCAGGAGUGGCUUAAUGCAGCAACUAUCAUCAGCAGGCCUGGGUCUGUCUUCACGCUGCCUCUGUUUCCCUCUGUGCUGCUCCCCUCUCAGAGAUGCUUUCUUCAUGUUGGCAAGACACCUGCCAGCAACUCCAUGCUUACAUCCCCCAGGUCUAAACCCACAGUGAAGAGAAUAACUCAAUGAGUGCAGCAAAGGUCCUGGAAUUAUCUCUAAUUGGAAAAAAUCACCUUGGCUUAGAAAGAGAGAUGUAAUUAUAGAUUAGAUGAUCUCUAACCUAUAUCUUUAAUACAGAGAACCUCUAACCUAUUAUCUAUAUUAUCAUAUAGAUAUAGAUUGUCUCUUUCUUCCAUUGAAAGAGAGAUGCAAUUCCCAAAUCAACCAGGCUUGGAUAACCUGCUAUCCCUGGGGUCAGUGUAGCAUCCGUUCUGCCAAAAGCACAUACACCAAGAGUGGGCAGGGGAUGGUGUCCUGAGGUACAGCCACGUCACCAUGAGCAGAAAAAAUGGCCCUGGUUAUGGGCAGGCAAAAGCAAUAACUGUCUGCUAAGCACUACUCCAGUUUUUCAAUCCUGGCUAUAUAAAAUUCAGAGAGCUUUAUAUACAUAGACAAAUAUACAUGGGCUUUAUCCCUCAAAAAUUGUGAAACAUUAGUUUCAGGGUGGGAACUAGAUGCUUGUAAUGUAUUGGAAAAGUUUUGUAGAUGAUUCAGAAAUCAGCCAGAUCUAAGUCACUGUGGUCUCAUUUAAUUCAUUUUUUAACUGAAUGUGGUAAAAUAAUCUCAUAAUGCUCAGACUUCCCAGGUGUGAUCCAUGUACACAGUGCUAAGAACACCAGACUUCACCUACCUUCUCACCCACUCACACUUCACGAGCAAACUCCCUCAUCGAUGUUGUCUGAAUAGGAUACCACUCAAGAAAAUCUUCUUUGUACAAAGUUUUGAACAGGACUCUGAGCUCUGCUCUACUUACAGUAAUAUGCUUGUCAAAGUUACCAGUGUUCCUUAGAACACUUUUCAAGUGUAUGGUUAGUGGAAAAUUUCAGCAUAAGCUAAAUAUUGAAAUAUAAUCAUAUGUCAGAUUCAACAAACAUUUAGCCUCUCCCUUCCUUGACCUUCUCACUUAGCCACUCUCUCCCAUGGUUAUUCCAUCAACAUUUCACGAUGCUACACUACUUGUAAAAUAAUGAAAUCAUGCACCCACCCCUACACCCAAUUUCCUUACCUCCUUGCUAAUUUGUUUGACCAUUCUUUAUACUCAUGGAGCUCAAGUUCACUGAUAAUUCUAUCCUAUCCCUAUCCAUUGGCUUCUCCGUCUUUAUGUCCCCCCCUACCUAAAUUAACUUUGAGAGUCAACAAAGACAGUAACUCCAUGCCCAAUACCUCUCCACCUUUUCUUUGCAUAUGCCAGCCCAACUCCAGGACUUUCUCCAAGGUUGCACUCAGACAGCUGAGUGUUGCUAGAAAAAAAAUCCCAACAUGCAAGGCGUGUCAUAUCACUCCUCUGCUCAGAACCUCCCAAUAGCUCCACAUCUUGCUCUGAUUAAAAGCCAAAUUCCUUCCCACCUUCUAGAACACUCUGUGAUUUGGCCCACAGUUUCCAUUCUGGUGUUGUCCCCCUGUUGGCCACUCUGAUCUCAUUGCUGGUCCUUCUUCCUGCCUCAGGGAUUUUGCAUUUACUUUCAUCAGGUAUUUCCUUACCUGAAAUACUCUUCUUCCAGGUAUCUACAAGUCUCACCCCUCAUUUCUCUCAGGUCUGUUCAAAUGUCUCCUUCCCUGACUGCCCUGUAAAACAGAUAACUCCCCCAUAACUGUGCAUGAUUUUUCUGCGCAGCAUCUAUCACCACCUAACAUAAUAAUGAUACAUGUAUUUAUAUGAUCUUUGCCUAUCUUCCUCUGUGAGAAUAUUGGCUCUAUAGUGACAGAGAAUUUGUUGGGUUUUUUUAAUAUACCCUCAGUACCUCGAACAGUGUUGACAAUCAAUACGUAUUUGUUAAGUGAAUAAAUAAAUGAAGUGAGUGUAUUUGUAUAUAAGUGCUUAAUCACUUACUUCAACUGGGCCUCAAAACUACCUGAUAAUUCCACUAUUUCAUCUAGUCAACUCAAUCUCCAACUCUCCAUAAUGAGUAUUUCAAAACUCUUUCACUCUCUUAAACAUCUAUUUCUCUCCCCAGCAUACCUCAUCAACACACACCUACACACAGACACACACAGCCCCAUAUGUAUACUCUUCAAUCCACAGCCAUCCUUCACAGCAGACAACUUUACUUGCUACACUACAAAGAAAUAAAUGCUCACAGAUAAACUUUUGUACGCCCUGUUACUAAACCUAUAUAUCUUAACAUAUGUGUACUCAUACUUUUCUCAUUCCUCUUGUUUUAAAAGAAAGGAUGUACCUCCUCCUAAGUCAGUCCCUCUUUUUGGUAGAACCUAUUUCUACCUAUCUUCUCAAGACUAUCCUUUUCUGAAUCUUCAAAGAGCAUCAAGUCUAUGCCAUCUUAAGACACAAAACUAAAAUAUUUCCUUCAGACAAUAACCCUCCAUAAUCAUUCUAACUCUCCCUGCCCCUUCACUACCCAACUUUUAAAAGUAAUUUUCUUCCCUUUUUUACAUGAAGAAGCCAUUGACUAAACAGUUUUAACAAUAGUAUUCAUUUUUCAGAAACAGAAGUAUUAGACACCGUCAUUAUCAAAGACAUCACAAUUUUAAAAUACCAGCUGAAGCAUAGGUUCCACCUUUAGAGAUUUCUGAGUUAAUUAGUCUGGAAUGAGAUUUGGGUAUUGAGAUUUUUUUUUAAGCUCUCAGGUGAUUCUCAUGUGCAGCCAAGUUUGAAAACCACUACAAAAGAUGUUUACAAAAUACUUAUCAAUACCCUUUUCACAACUUGAAUAUUAUCCCAAUGCACCAGGGUACAAAUAGAGCCAAGACCAGGUCAGUUAACAGCUUUGUGAAGCCCUGCGUAGAGCGCUGUGUCAUCAUAGCUCAUGGUGAUUAAUGAAUCUAAGCAGGGGAUCAUUUGGGUGAAAUGAUUCACGGAGCAUUCUUUGUUCCUACUGAUACGGAAUAUGACUUACAACUGAAAGAGCUGUUGCACAGAUGCUCAGCUCAAGCAGCAGUAUUGACUCCUCCAAUCAAGCAGCCACCUAGCUCCAGAGCUGAUAAAUCAGGGCAGCAGAUACUCUCAUCCUGUAACAAGGUUAAGAACCCAGUUCUGGGCUCAGAAUUGGCUGAGUUUUCAUCUUGGCUCUGCCACCAGGUAGGAGACACAUUAUUUCUGAGGCUCAGAGGGUAUGCUGGGAAGCCAUCUCUCCAGUAGGGGAAAAGCCCUGACUUGUAGUGCUUGCCAAUUUCCAUGGUGUAAAUAAUCUGACAGUGGCUGAUUUCAAGCCUACCAACCAGCUUUAUACAAUUCCUGAAUAUUUAAAAUCAGUUCUCAUGAGCCAUUGUUAUCCAAUUCCCACAACUGAAGUUUGGACAUUAGUGGAUAUGCGUAACAUCACCUUGCUGGUCAACUAGAUUAAUUAUACUAAGAUGACUUCCUUUGGUGUUGAAUUGGGAUAAAGGAUGCAAAUAAGAAAUCUCAUAUCUAAAGGCAUUUAUAGCUGUCUGCUCCAAUAAGACAAGGAACAACAAGGCAAUAUUAGUAGAGCUGUGCUGGCUACACUUAACUGACAAGCCAGCUUUAAUCUGUGAAGGCCUAGAUGGUAUAAGCUUGCUCAGAGUUCCUGAAGAUAUAUGACAGCUAUUAAGAUGUAAAGAAAAGUAUUAGAAAUAGAGUACACAGGAUCACUAUAGAAUUGUUAUGUAAUUCAAGAAAAGGGAUCACAUGAGGCAGAGAAACAGCAUGGAACUAGCUUUGGGCAUAACAGAUGUUGUGAGCAGAUAUCUGAGGAUCAGUCCAUGGAUCAUAAUACCAGUCCAUGGAUGUAAGUAGUACAUGCAUGACAGUUUCUGAAAUAAAGUGCCAUGGAUGCAGAGAAGCCCACUCCAGUUAGGGUACAGUGAUGUUGCAAUAAGCUUGUUUUACCAGCACUCUGCAUUCACCACAAUUCCAGUAGAUCUGAGGCUUGUUGGUCACACACUGAGGCAAGAGGACAGAGAAGAGGCAAAGCAGUCCAGGGCCUUGUGUAGCAUCUCCCUAGAACAAUCUGGCUUUGAUUAUUUUUUACUCAUCUCCUGAGAACAAUUCAGACCACAAAAUAUAGGGAAUAAUAAUUACUCCCUAGCUUCUACAGCUGUUAAGAUGGUUCCAUCUGGCACCUCUAUACCUCCAGCUAUAACCCAGAGACCUCUGAAUUCCCUUGCAUGUUAACAGAUGGUGUUAGCCAAAGGAUGAGAGGUCUAAAGGCACUUUUGGCAGCUCUGUAUUUCAUUGCUUGCUCCUUGGAGCUCCCAUCAGUGUUUUGUUCCUCUUCUGUUCCUAUAAUUAUUUAUGUCAUAGAUUUAAAGGAUUAGGUUGGACUACUCCCAAAGUCACUAAAAGUUAAGAGGUUCUGCUUCUCUUUCAUGCUUUCCUGUCUCCUUGCCCAAGACAUGAAGAAUAAAGCACAAAUUACAUGUCAAAUGCUGAGUGGGUCAAUACAUAACAAUAAUCAAUAUCUUACCUUUGCAAAAAUUGUGGGGGGAUGGUAACCAGCCCUUGUUCAUAGAAAUGUUAACAUAAUAAAUCCUAAAUUGAAACUUAAUGGAAAUUGCACAAGACAGAAACCCUAAAAUGGGAGGGGAUUUCAGUCAAGAGUAUCUUGGUGAUUUUUCCCAACUUGAAGGCAAGCCCAGGCAGGUUCCACCUCUGCUCCCCUUUCCCAAGUCUAUCCCAAAUCACUUCCCAUCCUCCCUGCCCCCUGCACUUCUCGACCCUGCUUCCUUCUUUUUAAUUUCCUUUUCCAUUCCUUCCCAAGUGCAAUCUUCUAGCUUCAGGUCAGAAUUUCCUUUAGAGAAAGUCACUUCAAGACCACCUGGAUAUAAGGUAACUAUGGUUACCACUCCUCAGGAUCGUCCACAAACAGGAGGCAAUGUGAAGACUAGAUGCCCAUAAUCUACUUACAAUGUACACACAGAAAAAGCACCAUCCAAAAAGCUCAGUUCUCCCAGGUAUCACAGAAAAAAAUAGCCCCCAUCAAAACCAUCUCCUGAGGAAGAACUCACAGCCAAGUUGACACAAGUGGAAGGCAUGGGUAGAAAUUACCCCAUAUGCCAGAGCUCUACAGUCAGUGCAUAAAACCAGCAAGCAUAUUUCUAAUCCCAAGAUUGGCUCUGGAUAAAAUAUUAAAACAA